UACGGAGGAUGCGUGCGUUAUCCGGAUUUAUUGGGUUUAAAGGGUGCGUAGGCGGGCUUUUAAGUCAGCGGUAAAAAUUCGGGGCUCAACCCCGUCCGGCCGUUGAAACUGGGGGCCUUGAGUGGGCGAGAAGAAGGCGGAAUGCGUGGUGUAGCGGUGAAAUGCAUAGAUAUCACGCAGAACCCCGAUUGCGAAGGCAGCCUUCCGGCGCCCUACUGACGCUGAGGCACGAAAGUGCGGGGAUCGAACAGG
rnacentral:rRNA from 1 species